UACAGAGGUCUCAAGCGUUGUUCGGAUUCAUUGGGCGUAAAGGGUGUGUAGGUGGCGCCGUAAGUCGGGUGUGAAAUUUCGGAGCUUAACUCCGAAACUGCAUUCGAUACUGCGGUGCUUGAGGACUGGAGAGGAGACUGGAAUUCAUGGUGUAGCAGUGAAAUGCGUAGAGAUCGGGAGGAACAUCAGUUGCGAAGGCGGCUCUCUGGACCAGCACUGACACUGAGGCACGAAAGCGUGGGGAGCAAACAGG
rnacentral:rRNA from 1 species